UACGGAGGAUCCAAGCGUUAUCCGGAUUUAUUGGGUUUAAAGGGUGCGUAGGCGGCCUGUUAAGUCAGGGGUGAAAGACGGUAGCUCAACUAUCGCAGUGCCCUUGAUACUGAUGGGCUUGAAUACACUAGAGGUAGGCGGAAUGUGACAAGUAGCGGUGAAAAUGCAUAGAUAUGUCACAGAACACCGAUUGCGAAGGCAGCUUACUAUGGUGUCAUUGACGCUGAGGCACGAAAGCGUGGGGAUCAAACAGG
rnacentral:rRNA from 1 species